rfam:Ricinus communis cultivar Hale ctg_1100012360219, whole genome shotgun sequence.
UGGAACAAUGUUGGCAAGGGAAGUCGACAAAAUGGAUCCAUAACCUCGAGAAAAGGAUUGGCUCUGAGGGCUGGGCCCGGGGGUCCUACUCCCGAACCCGUUGGCUGUCGGCGAAUUGCUCGAGCUGCUCCCCCGGCGAACAGUCGACUCAGAACUGGUAUGGACAAGGGGAAUUCGACUGUCUAAUUAAAAAAAAGCAUUGUGAUGGUCCUUGCGGAUGCUCACGCAAUGUGAUUUCUGCCUAGUGCUCUGAAUGUCAAAGUGAAGAAGUUCAACCAAGCGUAGAUAAACGAUGGGAGUAACUAUGACUCUCUUAAGGUAGCCAAAUGCCUCGUCAUCUAAUUAGUGAUGCGCAUGAAUGGAUUAAUGAGAUUGCCACUAUCCCUGUCUACUAUCAAGUGAAACCACAGCCAAAGGAAUGGGCUUGG